UCAAAGAAUCAAUACGUGGUGUGUGUGUGUGUGUGAAGAAUUCUCAAAGGUAAGAAGAAUCUCUCAUACUAAUACUAAUUCAAUUCUUCUUCUUCUUCUUUGUUUGGCACUCGAGGGUUUUCAACAUGUCGUCGGCUGAAGAGGAAGAAAAUGCCGCCGAACUCAAAAUCGGAGACGAAUUUCUCAAGGCCAAGUGUUUGAUGAAUUGUGAAGUUGCUUUAAUUCUUGAACACAAGUAUGAGCAACUUCAACAGAUGUCUGAGGAUCCCAUUAACCAAAUUUCUCAGGUGUUUGAGAAAUCUCUGCAGUAUGUCAAACGCUUUAGCCGUUAUAAGAAUCCAGAUUCUGUUAGACAAGCACGAGAAAUCCUAAGUAGGUACAAGCUGGCUGAAUUCGAGCUCUGUGUGCUUGGAAAUCUGGGGCCUGAAACUGUCGAGGAAGCAAUUGCAAUGGUUCCAUCUAUCAAGGUUGUUUACUCUUAAUUGCUUUCCCCCACACAACUGAAGAAAUUUCUUCUUCUGGAGAGAAAAAUUCAUAAAAAUGAAGAAGCAUCAUCCAUUAUUAUAGUAGAGGACGUGCACUUGACGACGAGGCCAUAGAGAAGAUGUUGAACGACUUGUCGCUUAUAAAGAAAUUUGAAUAGCUUUAAAUUUACCUACCUACUCUAUUUGAUAAGAUGUUGUUGAACUGACUUGUAAUUUACCAACUCCUGAACUUGGUGAUGGAUUCCAUCUGCUGUGUAUGUUUCUUCUAUAUAGAAAUUGCUUUGCCUCA